UACGAAGGGUGCAAGCGUUACUCGGAAUUACUGGGCGUAAAGCGUGCGUAGGUGGUUCGUUAAGUCUGUCGUGAAAGCCCCGGGCUCAACCUGGGAAUGGCGAUGGAUACUGGCGGGCUAGAGUGCGGUAGAGGAGAGUGGAAUUCCCGGUGUAGCAGUGAAAUGCGUAGAGAUCGGGAGGAACAUCAGUUGCGAAGGCGGCCACCUGGACUGAUACUGACACUGAGGUGCGAAAGCGUGGGGAGCAAACAGG
rnacentral:rRNA from 1 species